rnacentral:rRNA from 1 species
GAUGAACGCUGGCGGCGUGCCUAACACAUGCAAGUCGAACGGGGACAGACGGAAACCUAGUGAAGUCUGUCCGAGUGGCGGACGGGUGAGUAACGCGUGGAUAACCUGCCGCAUGCAGGGGGAUACCGGCUGGAAACAGCCGCAAAUACCGCAUAAGCGCACGGUGCCGCAUGGCAGAGUGCGAAAAGGAGAAAUCCGGCAAGCGAUGGAUCCGCGUCCGAUUAGCCAGUUGGCGGGGUAAGGGCCCACCAAAGCGACGAUCGGUAGCCGGCCUGAGAGGGCGGACGGCCACAUUGGGACUGAGACACGGCCCAGACUCCUACGGGAGGCAGCAGUGGGGGAUAUUGCACAAUGGGGGAAACCCUGAUGCAGCGACGCCGCGUGGGUGAAGAAGUAUUUCGGUAUGUAAAGCCCUAUCAGCAGGGAAGAAAGAAGACGGUACCUGACUAAGAAGCCCCGGCUAACUACGUGCCAGCAGCCGCGGUAAUACGUAGGGGGCGAGCGUUAUCCGGAUUCACUGGGUGUAAAGGGAGCGUAGACGGCCGUGCAAGCCAGGAGUGAAAGCCCGGGGCCCAACCCCGGGACUGCUCUUGGAACUGUGCGGCUGGAGUGCGGGAGGGGCAGGCGGAAUUCCUGGUGUAGCGGUGAAAUGCGUAGAUAUCAGGAGGAACACCGGCGGCGAAGGCGGCCUGCUGGACCGCGACUGACGUUGAGGCUCGAAAGCGUGGGGAGCGAACAGGAUUAGAUACCCUGGUAGUCCACGCCGUAAACGAUGACUACUAGGUGUCGGGGCACGACAGUGCUUCGGUGCCGGCGCAAACGCAAUAAGUAGUCCACCUGGGAAGUACGUCCGCAAGGAUGAAACUCAAAGGAAUUGACGGGGACCCGCACAAGCGGUGGAGCAUGUGGGUUAAUUCGAAGCAACGCGAAGAACCUUACCUGGCCUUGACAUCCCGGUGAAUGCAGGGUAAUGCCUGCAGCCUUUCGGGGCAGCGGAGACAGGUGGUGCAUGGUCGUCGUCAGCUCGUGUCGUGAGAUGUUGGGUCAAGUCCCGCAACGAGCGCAACCCCUGCCCCUAGUAGCCAGCACGUAAUGGUGGGCACUCUAGGGGGACUGCCGGGGACAACCCGGAGGAGGGCGGGGACGACGUCAAAUCAUCAUGCCCCUUAUGGCCAGGGCUACACACGUGCUACAAUGGCGUGCACAGAGGGAAGCAAAGCGGCGACGCCAAGCAAAGCCCGGAAAGCACGCCCCAGUUCGGAUUGCAGCCUGCAACUCGGCUGCAUGAAGCCGGAAUCGCUAGUAAUCGCGGAUCAGAACGCCGCGGUGAAUACGUUCCCGGGUCU